ACUGGCCAAGGACCCUGUCUCCUCCCCUUCCUCCUCUCCCAGCUAAACCAUAGAUGCAGAUUCUUCUAGAUCCAUAGCAAGGGCUAUAUCUGAAGGCCCAGGUUUGAGCCCCAGCUCUCGGUUGGGCUACCAAAACCCCUUCAUGUCUUUGGAUUAUGACUUGCUCGUAACAACAGAUGAGUUAGGUAGAUUCAUAGAAAACUUUCCAUGUUUGUGUGUCCUUGCCUCUAGAUAGGCAUCCCCCCUACCCCCCUUCAAGCACCUUGUGUUUUCUGGAGAGUUCAUUUCAUUCCAGCCGAUGACGUAGUCCUGUGUUUCCUCCUUGUGUCUCUUAUCACCCAGAGGAAUUUUAAUUAUACAUGUGAAUAGCAGGGUGGGGGUAAGGAUGGAGAGAACUGCCACUUUCCAUGGCUGGUGUGUGAGCGCAUGGUCAUGCAUGUGCGUGAACUGCGCCUCUGGCAGCUUCUGGACUUGCCAGAGCUCUGCCCUAGCUGUGCAGGCCUCCUGGAGAUUGCAGCAGAGGCCAGGCUCAGGGACAGAGGUUGCUCUGCUCCUGCCUGUUGUUUUACCUUGUUUAGCCAGGUAGGCUGCUGCAUUGACAAGCCAGGAAACAAAGGCCAGAGGAGUGGGGGUGCUAGUACAGCUUGGAGCCCCACUGUCCAUCUGCCCAGCUUUGGUUCUGUGCUCAGCCAGCUCUGGGUUUAGCUGUAAAUCACUUCUGCCGGAGGGCUGGAUGCCACUGUGUGCCCUCUGAUUGGCAUGCACGCUGCAUCGGUGUCCUGAAGGGAAGCAGAAAGAAAGGGAGUGGAGGAGGCGGACCAAGGGAGAGACACAGCUCUGCGCACCCAGGCUUGGCUUCUCAGACUUGAUCGACAGUCAGUGAACCAGGGGGAGGCUGGUGACGUCCUUUGGAAGCCUCGGGGCCAGCGAGUCUUCUGUCAGCACCAAUGACUCAGGAUUCCUGGGUUUAUUCUGAGCAUCACUCUGUCCUGUUGAGGGAGGGGGCUCAGUCCCUCCCCUUUCACCAGGAUGCCGUCUGGUGCAAUGGAAAGAGGCAAUUCAGAGCCAGUGGGCCUGGACUGCUUUCCUGGCUGGCUGGGCACUUGCUCCCUGGAUAUAACUUUAGGGGAGUUGCAUAGCCUCAAAGCGUACUUAAAACUCUUCACCAGGACCCCUGGUUGGGCCUCCUUGGGUCUGUCUUCAGGGGUUGGCCUCUGGGGUGACGACUGGUUGGACAACUCCUCCAGAAGCUGCCAAACUCCUCUGCCCAACGUGGUCCCCACCGUCCAGCCGCGCUGCCCGUGCCACCUUUGCUCUUGAACUUCCCAUGCUUGUCGCUCAGAGCUCAGCUCCACAGGGGGCAGCAUGCUCCACAUCUGGGAUCCAGCUUGUCUAUGGAAUGUGUUCUGAGCACAGCAUCCAUCUGAGCAGAGAUGAAGCUGGGCCAGGGUCCGGUCAGGAUGAAGCCACUCCGAAAGUCUGAGUGAGGAACUGCAGUGGUCUUGGGAAUGAGGCAAGGCAUCCAUCUACCCCAGCAAUUCUCAACUUUGGGCGACUUUGCCACCCAGAGGACAUUUGACAGUGCCUGGGGACAGGUUUUAGUUGUCAUAACUGGGAGAUGCUAGUGUCAUCAAGGAAGUAGAGGUCAGGGAGGCUGCUAAACCUCCUAUGACCCAAAGGACAGCUCCCACAACAAAGAAUUCACCAGCCCAAGACGUUAGCAGUGCAGAGGUUGAGAGAUGCUGAUGUAGGCUGGGAACUGCCCAGGAAAUGGGCAUAUUGGGAUAGACAGGACUUUGCAUUGCUAGCCCUGGUGGUGGUGGCAGCUGUGGGAUGCAGAGAACUUGGGCAUCUCCAGUGGGUCUUGCCCUCCCCUGUGCAGGAAGAUGCCAAUCAGUGGUGCAGUGAAGCUGAGGCCCUGGGUGCCUUGUUCACGUCCCCUGGGCACCCUCCUUGUACUGGCUGCCGAUGGCGCCCCACAGCAAACACCACAGCUCUCCAACCCUCUGCUGGGGGUGUCUUUUCUGCCCACAAGCAGGACAGGGGAGAAAUGCCCCGGAGCUCACACCCCCAGGCAGGGGCAGGGGGGAAGCCCUCAGCCAUUGAUGGUAAGAGCUGGGGGAUAAAUCCCCAUGCAUAUUCUGCACUGUUUCCCAGAGAUCCCCGUGGGACCCAGCCUCAGUUGUCCCCUGUGGUCAUGGGCUCAUUAAUGCACCCUCUACUGCUCAUUUCUUUCUGUCCUCACUUCCCAGACUUUCCUGCUGAUGCUUCUUAAGACCACCUUGCAAAUUGACUGCUUCAUUCCUGUGUAAGAGUUUGUUUCUGGGGCCCCCCGGCCCGAGACAAGGAGCCCUCUCUGUGUGUAGGGACUAAUAACGGCCACGCAUUGAUGCACUUCGUUCAGCCAGCCAGCCAUUUGGUCAGCCCGCAGCACUUGCUGAGCACUGACUAUGUACCAGGAACUGAGGAUCCGUACCCACUUAUAAAUGGGGAGACCGAGGUGCCAAGAUGCACAUAUAUUUGUUCAGAGCCCCUCAAACAGUAAGCGACCAAAACUAGAACAUAAAGCCCAAGCUCUUAAAUAUAUUUUAUGACCAUUAUACCUACCAGUUAUUCCUCAACUGGCCGUGCUCAGAAUUACCUGGAGGGCUUUGUAUAAACACAGAUGUCUGAGCCCCAUUCCAGAAUGAGUCAUCAGCUCUGGGAGUGGGGCCCUGGCAUUUGUAUUUUUAAAAGGCCCUAUAAAGCACAUGUGCACACAGAUGGGGGAAUCUGUGCACCCUUUCCCCGGCCCCCCAGCACACACACACACACACACACACACACACACAAGGAGUGCCUGAUUUAUGAGCACUGGCUUCAGGAUGAAGACAGGGAGAGGAAGAAGCCCCUCUCUAACGAAGACUGAAGCUCAAGGCUGCCCAGAUGUUGUCACCCACCUGCGCCCCUAACCCCCGAGGGAAGUUGGCACCCCGUGGGACAGGGCCAGCUCCCCCUUGUUGAUUUAACAUCUUUACAGAAUCAUCUUGCCAGGUUUCACCUAGACAGGCUGUCCUGUGGUUUCCACUGCUUGUUUUACGGUUGGGGUUUCCUGUCCUGCCAUAUGGUGAGCCCUUGUAAGGUGUAGUGCUAAUGGGGCCACACGCGGGCAGGCGGGUGCUUCCUGGGACAUGAGCCCAAUGGCGCCAGAGCCCCCAACUCUGCUCUCACCUCUACCUGCACCCUGGAAGGGUUCGAGAUGGAGGGAUUUCAGGCUAAAUAUAGAGGCAGACCAUUAAGAAACAGCAUGUCCUGCCCCUCCCCAGUCUCUCUGGGCUUUCCAUGUGAUGGUUUAAUUGCUCUGACAAUCUGUUCUGUUUCUCCCUUUGCAGUGCAUGAAAGCAGCAGCCACGGUCUGUGGUGAGAGGCUGCUUUGGAGACGGGAACAGCUUUUUAGAGGAAGAAGGAGGCUUCUUCGGGUCUCAGUACACAGGGUGCUCGGGCUUUAUUUUCAGAGGUCUCUACGGGGUCUCUGCCCACACCUCCCCUCCCCCUCACCCCCGUGCAAUGCUCACCAGAUGUUCGUGCUGGCUCCGGAAUGGUGGGGUCACUGUUUGUACUGAACGGCAUGGCAGGAGUGGCAUCGGGCUUGAGGGCAGGCAGACCUGGAACCGGAUUCUGGCUCUGCCCCUGACGAGCUUUGGGAUUGUGGAAAGGUCAUGUGACUUUCAGGAAAUGAAAUGACAGGAGGGGCCAGCCACUUGUGCAGGGUGGGUGUGAAGCCGAAGGGAGGGGGGACUUGAAUGGAUGGCACAGAAUAAGCCAUCCACGUGGUAGGGGACCAGCCACACAUCAGGGCCUCAGUAGAGUGGCUACUUGUCAAGACUUCCUGGGCUUAAUAGCUGUGUGGCCUUGCUUUUCAUGUCUGGAAAAUGGGUAUCCUAACAGCACCUACUUCUAGGACUAGCUGCAUAGUGUUUGGAGCCCAAGGCAAAAUGGAAAUGUGAGGCCCUCCGAAAAUGAAGAAUUUUAGCACAGUGACAGCAGAGCAUUAACCCAGGCGUGUGGCCCUUCUGAACUCGGGGCCCUGUGUGACCACCCCGCUGGACACCGUUUACUGUAAAAAGUGGUGGCCACAGCCCCUGCACCGGGCUGCCACUUGACCGUAGCAACAGGCCCUGCAGGCUCCGUGAUGCCUCAAGACUGUCCAGACAAAGUGACGGUCCACCUGACAGGUUCUGGGGCCCACUGGGGGCCGUCACUCAAUGUGAACCCUUGAUGCCGUUUCUUUUGGUGUUUAUUUCAAGAUUUCAGAGGCAACAGAAGUGCCCCGGGAGCAGGGACUUAUUUGGCCAGUGAGGGUGGGGGAGGUAGAAUGGACACUCAACACUUUGUUUUUCCAUUUUGGAAACUCAAAUGUCAAAAAAAAAAAAAA
rnacentral:lncRNA from 1 species